UACGGGAGGCAGCAGUGGGGAAUAUUGCACAAUGGGCGCAAGCCUGAUGCAGCCAUGCCGCGUGUAUGAAAAGGCCUUCGGGUUGUAAAGUACUUUCAGUCGUGAGGAAGGUGUUAAGGUUAAUAACCUUAGCAAUUGACGUUAGCGACAGAAGAAGCACCGGCUAACUCCGUGCCAGCAGCCGCGGUAAUACGGAGGGUGCGAGCGUUAAUCGGAAUUACUGGGCGUAAAGGGCACGCAGGCGGUUAAUUAAGUUGGAUGUGAAAUCCCCGGGCUUAACCUGGGAAUGGCAUUCAAGACUGGUUAGCUAGAGUCUUGUAGAGGGGGUAGAAUUCCAUGUGUAGCGGUGAAAUGCGUAGAGAUGUGGAGGAAUACCGGUGGCGAAGGCGGCCCCUGGGACAAGACUGACGCUCAUGUGCGAAAGCGUGGGGAGCAAACAGGGAUUAGAUACC
rnacentral:rRNA from 1 species